GAUGAACGCUGGCGGCGUGCCUAAUACAUGCAAGUCGAGCGAACAGACGAGGAGCUUGCUCCUCUGACGUUAGCGGCGGACGGGUGAGUAACACGUGGAUAACCUACCUAUAAGACUGGGAUAACUUCGGGAAACCGGAGCUAAUACCGGAUAACAUGUUGAACCGCAUGGUUCAACAGUGAAAGACGGCUUUGCUGUCACUUAUAGAUGGAUCCGCGUCGCAUUAGCUAGUUGGUAAGGUAACGGCUUACCAAGGCAACGAUGCGUAGCCGACCUGAGAGGGUGAUCGGCCACACUGGAACUGAGACACGGUCCAGACUCCUACGGGAGGCAGCAGUAGGGAAUCUUCCGCAAUGGGCGAAAGCCUGACGGAGCAACGCCGCGUGAGUGAAGAAGGUCUUCGGAUCGUAAAACUCUGUUAUUAGGGAAGAACAAAUGUGUAAGUAACUAUGCACGUCUUGACGGUACCUAAUCAGAAAGCCACGGCUAACUACGUG
rnacentral:rRNA from 1 species